GGAUGUGAGGGUGAUCUGGUUGAGAUAUCUGUUACCCCAUUGAUCACCAGGGUUGAUUCAGCUGACCUGGCUGGCUAAGCGUGCGUCCCCUUCUUCUCCUACCACUCCAUAUGCGUCCCUCCUGAAGCUGCACGCUGGGUGGAAGAAGACGUCCAUCCCCGAUAGAAGAAGUCCAGCCUUGGAUCACAGGUAUAGGAGUGGUUGUGCUCCCCUGCUAGACUCUCCACACAAGCUCUCAAAAGUAGUUUAGAGCCACGGGCGGCCAGGAGUGAGGACCUGGUUGCCACUUACUUGGCGGUAGGCAUGGACACGUGGUGCUGCCGGCCUG
rnacentral:snRNA from 1 species